rnacentral:misc_RNA from 1 species
UCCGGCUUAUCACCGGCAGUUUCUUUAGAGUGCUCAACUGAAUGGUAGCAACUAAAGACGAGGGUUGCGCUCGUUGCGGGACUUAACCCAACAUCUCACGACACGAGCUGACGACAGCCAUGCAGCACCUGUGUGCAGGUCUCUUGCGAGAAGGAAUCCAUCUCUGGAAGCCGUCCUGCCAUGUCAAGGGCUGGUAAGGUUCUGCGCGUUGCUUCGAAUUAAAGAACAUGCUCCGCUGCUUGUGCGGGCCCCCGUCAAUUCUUUUGAGUUUUAGCCUUGCGGCCGUACUCCCCAGGCGGAACACUUAACGCGUUGGCUGCGGCACCGAAGGAGUCGCUCCCCCCGGCACCUAGUGCCCAUCGUUUACGGCGUGGACUAC